rnacentral:rRNA from 1 species
GAUGAACGCUGGCGGCGUGCCUAAUACAUGCAAGUCGAGCGAACAGAUGAGGAGCUUGCUCCUCUGACGUUAGCGGCGGACGGGUGAGUAACACGUGGAUAACCUACCUAUAAGACUGGGAUAACUUCGGGAAACCGGAGCUAAUACCGGAUAAUAUAUUGAACCGCAUGGUUCAAUAGUGAAAGACGGUUUUGCUGUCACUUAUAGAUGGAUCCGCGCCGCAUUAGCUAGUUGGUAAGGUAAUGGCUUACCAAGGCAACGAUGCGUAGCCGACCUGAGAGGGUGAUCGGCCACACUGGAACUGAGACACGGUCCAGACUCCUACGGGAGGCAGCAGUAGGGAAUCUUCCGCAAAGGGCGAAAGCCUGACGGAGCAACGCCGCGUGAGUGAUGAAGGUCUUCGGAUCGUAAAACUCUGUUAUUAGGGAAGAACAAAUGUGUAAGUAACUAUGCACGUCUUGACGGUACCUAAUCAGAAAGCCACGGCUAACUACGUG